UGGGGGAUAUUGCACAAUGGGCGCAAGCCUGAUGCAGCGACGCCGCGUGGGGGAUGAAGGCCUUCGGGUUGUAAACUUCUUUUGCUCUGAACAAGGCGCACUUUGGGGUGUGUUGAGUGUAGGGGUUGAUUAGCGCCGGCUAACUACGUGCCAGCAGCCGCGGUAAUACGUAGGGCGCGAGCGUUGUCCGGAAUUAUUGGGCGUAAAGGGCUUGUAGGUGGCUGGUUGCGUCUGUCGUGAAAGCUCAUGGCUUAACUGUGGGUUUGCGGUGGGUACGGGCUGGCUUGAGUGCAGUAGGGGAGGCUGGAAUUCCUGGUGUAGCGGUGGAAUGCGCAGAUAUCAGGAGGAAUACCGGUGGCGAAGGCGGGUCUCUGGGCUGUUACUGACACUGAGGAGCGAAAGCAUGGGGAGCUAACAGG
rnacentral:rRNA from 1 species